rnacentral:rRNA from 1 species
GACGAACGCUGGCGGCGUGCUUAACACAUGCAAGUCGAACGGAAAGGCCCUGCUUUUGUGGGGUGCUCGAGUGGCGAACGGGUGGGUAACACGUGAGUAACCUGCCCUUGACUUUGGGAUAACUUCAGGAAACCGGGGCUAAUACCGGAUAGGAGCUCCUGCUGCAUGGUGGGGGUUGGAAAGUUUCGGCGGUUGGGGAUGGACUCGCGGCUUAUCAGCUUGUUGGUGGGGUAGUGGCUUACCAAGGCUUUGACGGGUAGCCGGCCUGAGAGGGUGACCGGCCACAUUGGGACUGAGAUACGGCCCAGACUCCUACGGGAGGCAGCAGUGGGGAAUAUUGCACAAUGGGCGGAAGCCUGAUGCAGCAACGCCGCGUGCGGGAUGACGGCCUUCGGGUUGUAAACCGCUUUCGCCUGUGACGAAGCGUGAGUGACGGUAAUGGGUAAAGAAGCACCGGCUAACUACGUG